ncrna:unclassified sequences IS605-orfB-I RNA
GCUGCGUAAAUGCUAUUUAGCCCAAGAGAGCUAGUAUCAUCCCUGCGUUGGCGAGAAUCUCAUAAUAGAAUGAUAUGGUAAAGUGGAUUGUAAUCCCUUGAAAAUAUGAAAAAUAUUUAAGAGAGAAAUCCAAUAGCUAUAUCGCAAUGGUUAGCCGUAUGACCGCAGGAGAGUUACCUGAAACAUGAUGAAAAAUUGUAGAAUUCAUUAGAAUUCACAUUAUUUUUUACGGUUGA